AGUGAAUAGAUACCCGGGUAGUCCACGCCCUAAACUAUGUCAACUAGGUGUUGGGUGGGUAAAACCAUUUAGUACCGUAGCUAAACGCGUGAAAGUUGACCGCCUGGGGAGUACGGCCGCAAGGUUAAAACUCAAAGGAAUUGACGGGGACCCGCACAAGCGGUGGAUGAUGUGGAUUAAUUCGAUGCAACGCGAAAAACCUUACCUACCCUUGACAUGCCAGGAACUUGCCAGAGAUGGCUUGGUGCCCGAAAGGGAGCCUGGACACAGGUGCUGCAUGGCUGUCGUCAGCUCGUGUCGUGAGAUGUUGGGUUAAGUCCCGCAACGAGCGCAACCCUUGUCGUUAAUUGCCAUCAUUUGGUUGGGCACUUUAACGAGACUGCCGGUGACAACCGGAGGAAGGUGGGGAUGACGUCAAGUCCUCAUGGCCCUUAUGGGUAGGGCUUCACACGUCAUACAAUGGUCGGUACAGAGGGUUGCCAAGCCGUGAGGCGGAGCCAAUCCCAGAAAGCCGAUCGUAGUCCGGAUUGCAGGCAGCAACUCG
rnacentral:rRNA from 1 species